GAAGCUGACUCAACCCAAACUUUCUGAGAUCACACGAAAAUGUUUUCCUUCUGAUCUCAACUUUUCUCCUUAUCGUGGGGCAUGGAAAGGAGGAGAUCGCAGCAGGGAAGUUUUUGUUCUUGUUCACAUGCUAACAAUGACUAUCGAUUUACGGCAAUGGAUUGGUCAAGGAAGGAUAAAGAAACUUGGAAAGAACUAUCAUGAUACCUGCCCUGAGAAGCUGAAAUUUGGUUUAACUUUGUGUUGUUUACUGUUUGGUUCUAUAAAAGCUAAGUUUAUAAAAUAUUGUAUGACAGGUGAAUUUAAAUGUUACUAACCAUCUUGGAUGUCCUGC
rnacentral:lncRNA from 1 species